CCAUCAGCAGUGAAGGAUACAGUAACAGUCCAGCCAAAAAGAUGGAUCCAACACCUGGUGACCCAUCAGCUGCAUUGCUUCCAUCCAGCCCAUCCCAGCGCUGCUCCCUUUUACCAGGGAAGAGGGGCUGGAGCCAUAGCCAUGUCUCCGGCUGGCAACGAGACAUGACACGCAAAGGGACAUGGUUCAGGACAAGCCAAGGAGUGGUGAACUUCAGUGGUACACAGCGAUCCCGGUGCCGCCCAGGACCUCUGACUUUCAAACGCCACUUGGAGCACAGAGAUCAGGAGCCCAAUUCCAAGCAUUUUCUUUCAGAGGACAAGAUGGCUGCCCGCUUCAACUCCCUUAGCUUGGAAAAUGAUCACAUUUACAGUUCCAAUGGCUUCCCUAUCCACGACGAAGACCCCCAGUGGCAGCAGGCCUAUUCACGCCUGAAAGAGCUACAACAGAGGCUCUCCCAAGACAGAGCGCAGGACGAAACCUGCUCGGAUGACGAAGAUGAGCUCAACAACGUUAUUGUGGAUGGAGAAUACAUCAUGGGCGAGUGCCCCUUGCUGACGCACCCUUCUCUCUUACGAGCCGGACUUGGAGAAGUCGGUAUUACAGCUGAAGAACUGCUUCUUUCUCUGAAUCCUUGUACAGAGGUUGUCUUAUGGAGCCCUCACAAUAAGACAAGCUUACACACCAUUCGGACAAUGAUGGGCAUCCCCUCUUCCGCGAGCACCUCUGUAGAGGCCCAGCAAAAAGCGGCGGGAGCAGAAGAGGAAAUGGAAGUAUGA
rnacentral:lncRNA from 1 species